AAGAUAAAUGUGGCCUAAAAUUUACCAUUUAAUUUUCAAACUUGUUGCAAGUCUAAAAAAUAUUUAAUGUCACAAUGAAAAUGAGAAAAAAAUCAUGUGGAAUCCAAUGAAUAAAAUGUUCUAAAUGACACAAGGAAUGUCUCCGGGGAUGUACAACAGUGAUGUAAAAAAGCUCCUGCAGAGUAUGGGGAGGAGCGAUCGCUAACGCCGCCCCCCUUCCCCAUACUGUCUUCAUCACUAUGAACGCUCGCUAGCGAUUAUGUGUUCAAUUUUUUAGCCAGUGUCAGGGGCCGUUUAUUGUAUUGUCUAGGCUCAUGUAUUCUCGGCCCUUCGUCUCUGCUGCAGCGCACAUUCGAAGACGUCUAUUUUAAGACAGGUGUCUUGAUGGCGUGAGUUGCGCCAAGUAUGCGACUGAUUUAGUCAGUCGCUCUUCACAAAUCGAUUGUAAUCUGGGUUUGCAGUUCUAAAUUUUGUUGCCGACGGAUAAGUUCUAAUGUGCGCCCAAAACGCAAAGAAAACGUGCGCCAAAAAUGAGACCCAAAUAGACCGGACA